UUCAUGGAAAUGCAAUCAGACAGAGAGGCUAAGGUAGAAGAACUACCACAUCCGCAGUGAAAAAUGAUUAAUAUGAUGAUUGUUACUUCAAGAAAUGAUAAAGACAUGAUCAUAAAUGUUCUUCCUUUAGCUGCGUCACCCUGCUGCUGUCGACGGACUGGCCCAGAGAUCACCGUACAAACAAGCGGCUGCUGGAAGAGAGUAGGUGAGUUGUGUUUAGUCUCUUUGCUAAAGAAAUUAGUCAAAGCUAAAAAGAUGUUUGGUGUCUAGUACCAUGGCUGGGACCCUAUAUGUACUGUUGAUGAAGUUAGGUGCUGUUCUGAGCAUUAUUUGUG